rnacentral:rRNA from 1 species
GUGGCGGACGGGUGAGUAACGCGUGGGUAACCUGCCUCAUACAGGGGGAUAACGGUUAGAAAUGACUGCUAAUACCGCAUAAGCGCACAGUACCACAUGGUACGGUGUGAAAAACUCCGGUGGUAUGAGAUGGACCCGCGUCUGAUUAGCUGGUUGGUGGGGUAACGGCCCACCAAGGCGACGAUCAGUAGCCGACCUGAGAGGGUGACCGGCCACAUUGGGACUGAGACACGGCCCAG